CCCUAACCCAGCAGCUGCCCCGGUCACGGUCUCCACUGCGCCGCAAGCCUUCUCCGUGUGAAGUGCCGCUUUCCACAUUCGCGUCCGCAGCCCUCGGUCCUCCGCGCCGCUCCCACCACCGCUGCCUUCUCUGUGCCGCUGCCGUCCUAUUCCCCCACCGCUGCUAGCACUUGCUCACCUGAUUCUGCGCCUACCCUCACCGGAUUUCAUCUCCCAGUAGCAGAUCUGGUCCGUGGCGGCAGGGAGGAAGGCAACGACCUGAGCACGGUUGCGACGGCAUAGAGGGGCUCACCAGACGACGGCGCGGCGGCCAUCAGUGAUGACUGUGUCGAGAAGGAACUCCGUCCAGCCACAAGCGUCACCACUAUCUCCGAUCCAUCUUCGUGCAUCCUUUCGGCAACAAGCCGUCCGCAGCAGCAGGAACAUGUGUAUAGCGGGGGACAUCCAUUGGUGCAGCUCCACCAUGUUUAGAUGUCAGUAUUAGAUUUGUGUCAUCUACUUCAGGUUGGAAAGGAAGCGAUACUUUUUGCUAUGUUGAGGCCUGAUCAAACUGUAGCUAAGGGAACUGUCCUUUCUGUUAUUCCGAGGACCAUCGUAGGAGGUGAGCCUCUUGGAAAGCAGUUUUGUGAAGUUACAGUGGAACAUGUGAUAAGAAGGGAUGCACCUAAUGUUAUUUAUUUUUUUGCUUUUGAUGAGUGUCUAGUGUUCCUAAUUGAUUUACUCUAUAUAGCUAAAGCCUUGCAACAAUACAUCUGGAUCUUCCAAGGUUACACCAGGUAGCAUUGGGCACCACUAACUGCUUACAAAUGAAUGGGAUGCCAAAUUUUGCGCAACUACUGCAUUUGGAUCCUAGUAUUUCUUUUGUUUUAUGAGCUUUUGGAACAACUUGUGGACUUUACUCGUUAGGAGGGCAAGAACCUGUUGUUGGGUCCAUACAUCUCUUUUUGGUUGCUAUGUCUAUCAAAGUGAUUGUUUACUGCAAACAAUCUAGUAUAGCUCCCAUUUAUGUACUUGUGCUUAAUUUAUGACUUGGUGCAAAUGUCCAAGACAACUAUAUUCAUGUCAUAUGGAGAUCCAUGUAUUUGGGGACCAAAUUUAUGGAGAUGAACGUGAUAUGAUGGAUCUUUGAUUAGUCAAAUGCAUAUUUAGUA